GGCUCAGAACGAACGCUGGCGGCAUGCCUAACACAUGCAAGUCGAACGUGAUCCAGACUUCGGUUUGGUGAAAGUGGCAAACGGGUGAGUAACGCGUGGGAACCUGCCCAGAGGUAGGGAAUAACUGCGGGAAACUGCGGCUAAUACCCUAUGUGUCCUGAGGGACAAAGAUUUAUCGCCUUUGGAGGGGCCCGCGUCGGAUUAGGUAGUUGGUGGGGUAACGGCCUACCAAGCCAUCGAUCCGUAGCUGGUCUGAGAGGAUGAUCAGCCACACUGGGACUGAGAUACGGCCCAGACUCCUACGGGAGGCAGCAGUGGGGAAUAUUGGACAAUGGGGGCAACCCUGAUCCAGCAAUGCCGCGUGAGUGAUGAAGGCCUUCGGGUUGUAAAGCUCUUUCGGCGGGGAAGAUGAUGACGGUACCCGCAGAAGAAGCCCCGGCUAACUUCGUGCCAGCAGCCGCGGUAAUACGAAGGGGGCUAGCGUUGUUCGGAAUUACUGGGCGUAAAGGGCGCGUAGGCUGUGCUGUAAGUCAGGCGUGAAAUCCCCGGGCUCAACCUGGGAAUUGCGUUUGAUACUGCGGCGCUGGAAUGCAGGAGAGGAUGGCGGAAUUCCCAGUGUAGAGGUGAAAUUCGUAGAUAUUGGGAAGAACACCGGUGGCGAAGGCGGCCAUCUGGCCUGUAAUUGACGCUGAGGCGCGAAAGCGUGGGGAGCAAACAGGAUUAGAUACCCUGGUAGUCCACGCCGUAAACGAUGAGUGCUAGACGUCGGGGAGCUUGCUCUUCGGUGUCGCCGCUAACGCAUUAAGCACUCCGCCUGGGGAG
rnacentral:rRNA from 1 species